GACGAACGCUGGCGGCGUGCUUAACACAUGCAAGUCGAGCGGUAAGGCCCUUUCGGGGGUACGACGAGCGGCGAACGGGUGAGUAACACGUGGGUGACCUGCCCUCAGCUCUGGGAUAAGCCUGGGAAACCGGGCCUAAUACCGGAUAUGACUCCAUGACGCAUGUUGUGGGGUGGAAAGCCUUGUGCGGCUGAGGAUGGGCCCGCGGCCUAUCAGCUUGUUGGUGGGGUGAUGGCCUACCAAGGCGACGACGGGUAGCCGGCCUGAGAGGGCGACCGGCCACACUGGGACUGAGACACGGCCCAGACUCCUACGGGAGGCAGCAGUGGGGAAUCUUGCGCAAUGGGCGAAAGCCUGACGCAGCGACGCCGCGUGAGGGAUGACGGCCUGGUGUAAC
rnacentral:rRNA from 1 species